GUAAAGCGCUAUAUAAAUACAGUCCAUUUACAAUUUGCUUUCACCUGCCACUGCAGGGUUUACUUUACAACAUAAAGCACCUUGAGGUGACAGUUGCUGUGAUUUUGCUGUAUAAAUAAAAUUGAAUUGAAUUAAAAAUUGAACCUGCUUCAAAUUUCCGUGCAUCGUGCAUAACUGCAGUCAAAGAAGCACAUGGACCAACGAGUCUGACCUGAUUCUUUGGUAGGGCCCUGAUGAGUGUUAACAGGCGGAGCUCAACAUAAAUUUCAGAUAAUUAAAGUCUAAGAUGAUCUGAAACAGCUGCAGUUAACCAUGGCUCUGCAACAGUUUGUGUGCUGCGUCACUGUGCUGAUCAUUUUCUUCUGCAAAGGUUGUCAUUUGGAUCAGCCCGCAUGUGGCAGCAGGGCUGUGAACAGCAGCAGCAUCACAGGAGCUCAUGAUGCAGCACCAGGAAGUUGGCCCUGGUUCGCUGAUAUAAACAUUUUUUUGAAGGGUUUGUGUACCCCAAUUUAGUUUUUGGAGGGUCUCUGAUCAACGACCAGUGGGUGUUGACGGCUGCAUAUGUGCCAAGUAGUGAUGUGCGGAUCGAUCCUGAAAUAUCGAUUCCUCCAAUACCAGUCAUUUAUAUCGAUAUUUUAGUAUUUUAGG